UACGUAGGCAGCGAGCGUUGUUCGGAGUUACUGGGCGUAAAGGGUGUGUAGGCGGUUGUUUAAGUUUGGUGUGAAAUCUCCCGGCUCAACCGGGAGGGUGCGCCGAAUACUGAAUGACUAGAGUGCGGGAGAGGAAAGUGGAAUUCCUGGUGUAGCGGUGAAAUGCGUAGAUAUCAGGAGGAACACCGGUGGUGUAGACGGCUUUCUGGACCGUAACUGACGCUGAGACACGAAAGCGUGGGAAGCAAACAGG
rnacentral:rRNA from 1 species